rnacentral:tRNA from 1 species
UCCCUGGUGACUCAGUCGGUAAAGAAUCUGUCUGCGAUGCAGGACACCUGGGUUUGAUCCCUGGCUUGGGAA